UAUUCAUCCCAUGCGGGAAGGAUGAGAAGCUUCGACUAAGGUUCGAUUCGAGCGAAGCGAGAAAGCGUUGCCGCAGGCAACGACCCGAAGGGCG
rnacentral:sRNA from 1 species